AAACAGAGCGAGCUACGCUGCGGGAGCGCAGUUACCAGCCGGCUGCGGUCACGUGCCUGGGAGGAGGAGCUGAGACCUCAGGGGAGGGGCGCGCGGUAGCGCCCCGGGUCACCUAGCAGGGCUCUGGAGACCACGUGAAGUCUCCUCGACAGCUGCUUUGCCUCAGGCAUAAAUCAGAAGAGGAAAACCAGCUUCUGGACCUGGAGAGAGGAUGAAAGGGAAUAGGAAUUGAGGAAAGUGGAAGGGAAGAAUAAGGGACCCCUGGAGAGUCCCUACCAAGCCAGACAUAACAAACAAAAGUCCUCUACUACUGAGGAAGACAGAACAGGGAAGCCAGCAGGGGAAGAAAAAGAUGAUGCUGCUCUUGAUGCCUCAAAAACGGUAAGGAAGAACCCAGGCAACUGAUGUACACACCCUUGGAACAAAUCUGCCCCAGAAGUACAAGACACACUCUUCGAAUUCAUGGAAUAAAUGGGAGCUCCUGGCCACAGUGGGAGCCAUGAUCUCUCUCCUUUACAUGUGGCUGUGUUCCCAGAGCUUUCAUUUCCAUGUGGCACAUUUUUAUGCUCAUUUUGGGUACCCCAGUGCUCAGCAUAUUGUUGGGCAAAGAUACGUGAAAGGAGCUGGUGUAGUGAAGGAUGAAGAGAAGGCAAUGCAUUGGUUUAGACAAGUCUCCCAGCAGGACCAUCCUGGUGCUGCCUUUAACCUUGCAGUAGGAACACUGAAAAACAUGACUGGCUCCGUGGAAGCAGGGGAAUGUAGAAAUGCUCCUUAAUGUUGCUGCAAAAUGGGGGAUCCAAGAAGCCCAAGAACUUCUGGAGAAUGUUAUUUGGACUAAAAGCAAGCUCUUGCCAACUGAAAGAACCGGGAGUUCUUAUAAACCAUAAUGUGUGUCCUGCAUGCUCUUCCUGGAACAUGGGAUGUUCUGCUCUCACUUGUCCACUGUGGCCUUGCAAUGCUUUGUGGCAUUUUCAAUGGAAGCUCCUUUUACUUAUAGUCUCAUAUGCUGCUGCAGCAUUAAUUUGCUGGUUAAAAUCCUUUAAAUGAAGUGUUACUUAUAUGUUUUCCUGGGAUCUGAGUUUGAUCUCUUCUGGAUAGAGGAAUAUUUUAUUUGGGUUUCAUUACUGCUCACUUCAGCUAAAGUUUCAUUCAAGCCAGUGAGCAUUCUAUAACGUGGUAAGUGGAAAAUAACGAAGAAACCUGUCACACCAGAGAUUGGCUUCUUGGAUGUGUUAGCUGGCACUCACAGAUCCACUGAAAGAGCUAAACUCAUCAUUAGCCUAAUCUAUGACAUGUGAUGUUCUGCCUAAAAUAAGCCUGUUUUCAUUUCUCUCCAUUUCAAUUUUCUGAUCUAUUAGGUUUCUAUAGUAUUUUAUUACACUCACUUUUUGUAUUACAGUAAGUCCUUUAUGGGGGUAAAAAGGCUGUUAUUGUUGUCAAUGAAAGGGAAAAGGAUAAAGUAUAAGACCUAACAUUUAUUGACCAUCUGCCACAUGCAAGAUAUUUUCUUAGCUGUUUAAUAUAUAUAUAUAUAUAUUUGAGACUGAGUUUCGCUCUUGUUGCUCAGGCUGGAGUACAAUGGCAUGAUCUCUACUCACUGCAACCUCAGCCUCUCAGGUUCAGGAUGUUAUCCUGCCUCAGCCUCCUGAGUAGCUGGGAUUACAUGCGUACACCAUCACAUCCGGCUAGUUUUUUCAUUUUUAGUAGAGACGGGGUUUCACCAUGUUGGUCAGGCUGGUCUUGAACUUCUGACCUCAGGUGAUCUACCUGCCCUGCCCUCCCAAAAUGCUGGGAUUACAGGAGUGAGCCACCACGUCUGGCCUGUUUAACAAAUAUUUUAACAUUCACUAGUUAUAAAAGUCUUAUAAAGUGGAUCUUAUAACUCCUAUUUUACAGAGUGAAAACAGGUGUAGAGAAGUUGUGAUAUGUGCAGAGUCACAGAGUGAGUGAUAGAGUGGGGUUUUUAGUGCUGGCAGUCUGAUUCUAGAGUCAACAUUCUUAACCAGUUCUACCAACAUUACUCUCCCAAGUCAUUAACAUCUCUUUCCUAACAACAAAGAUGUUCUAAGAACAGAUAACUGGGUUUAUUACUGGCAUAUGGUGAACACUUAUCUUAGCAAAUAACUCAGCCCCAUUUUCUGACUAUGAUUUUUUUAAGGACAAACCACAUAGUCCUAUUCUUCAAAAGUGGUGUUUUUAACCUUAAUUAUAAUUAGCUGUAUUUAUCUCGUUUAGAUUAUAGCACAAUUUUCUCCUUGGAAUAUACAUGCAGAAACACAAAAUGAGGGUGACAAAAGUGUCAAACUGGAAUUCAAUAUGAUGAUUAAGCUGUGUUUAAAAUAUUUGUUUCCCUUUUGAUUGCCUUGUUUACACUGUAUACAUAUGGAAUAUGACUGUAAGCCUUCAGCAAUCUUCUCUUUGUCCAACGUGAACACAUAAACCUUUAAAGAUGUACAUGAAAUGGUCACAUGCAAUUUUAAAUUCUUUAAUGUAGAAAAUCCCAAAUUCAUAAACUAAAUUCUUCACGUGAACCUUUGGUAAUAGUAUUUUUAUCUUCUCUAGAAGCACUUUACUUUUCUUACAUUUUUCCCAGAGAAACCAGUCUUCAUUUCAGUUUAUGUUGUUCAAGAUACAACUCUGGAAAUUUUAUUCUGUGCCACAAACACUUAUAAAAUACUAGGACAAU